rnacentral:rRNA from 1 species
UAGAGUUUGAUCCUGGCUCAGGAUGAACGCUGGCGGCGUGCCUAACACAUGCAAGUCGAACGGGAAGGUUGACUUCGGUCAACUGGAGAGUGGCGCACGGGUGAGUAACACGUAGCUAAUCUACCUUCAAGAGGGGGAUAACUCACGGAAACGUGAGCUAAUACCGCAUAAGCUUCCGGGUUGUAGAGACCUGGGAGAAAAACUCCGGUGCUUGAAGAUGAGGCUGCGGCCCAUCAGCUAGUUGGUAAGGUAAAAGCUUACCAAGGCAACGACGGGUAGGGGGCCUGAGAGGGUGACCCCCCACACUGGGACUGAGACACGGCCCAGACUCCUACGGGAGGCAGCAGUGAGGAAUAUUGGUCAAUGGACGAAAGUCUGAACCAGCGACGCCGCGUGGGUGAAGAAGGUCUUCGGAUCGUAAAGCCCUUUUCUCAGUGACGAGGAAGGACGGUAACUGAGGAAUAAGUGUCGGCUAACUACGUGCCAGCAGCCGCGGUAAAACGUAGGACGCAAGCGUUAUCCGGAAUUACUGGGCGUAAAGCGCGCGCAGGCGGGGUGUUAAGUCAGCCGUGAAAGCUCCCGGCUAAACUGGGAGAGGUCGGUUGAUACUGGCAGUCUGGAGUAUGGCAGAGGUAGGCGGAAUUCCGCGUGUAGUGGUGAAAUGCGUAGAUAUGCGGAGGAACACCAAUGGCGAAGGCGGCCUACUGGGCCAAAACUGACGCUGAGGCGCGAAAGCAUGGGUAGCGAACGGGAUUAGAAACCCCGGUAGUCCAUGCCG